UACGGAGGGUGCAAGCGUUAUCCGGAUUCACUGGGUUUAAAGGGUGCGUAGGCGGACAGGUAAGUCAGUGGUGAAAUCUCUGGGCUUAACCCAGAAACUGCCGUUGAUACUAUUUGUCUUGAAUAUCCUGGAGGUAGGCGGAAUAUGUCAUGUAGCGGUGAAAUGCUUAGAUAUGACAUAGAACACCGAUAGCGAAGGCAGCACACUACACAGCCAUUGACGCUGAGGCACGAAAGCGAGGGGAUCAAACAGG
rnacentral:rRNA from 1 species